UAUAUAUUUAAAAUAUACAUUCAUAGUCUUUCCAGAAAAAGUCCAGCCAUCAUUAAUACAAUGAGAGUGGUUUGUGCCACAUUGAUGUAACCUGGCAGCCAGGAAGAGGGGACUGGAAUGAGCAUGUGUGAACAAUGACAACUUCACUGUAUUAGUCAGUGGGGGCAGUAGAUGCUG